UACAGAGGUCCCGAGCGUUGUUCGGAUUCAUUGGGCGUAAAGGGUGCGUAGGCGGUUUUCUAAGUUUGAUGUGAAAUCCCGGGGCUCAACCCUGGAAUUGCAUUGAAUACUGGGAGACUAGAGUACUGGAGAGGAAACUGGAAUUUACGGUGUAGCAGUGAAAUGCGUAGAGAUCGUAAGGAAGACCAGUGGCGAAGGCGAGUUUCUGGACAGUUCCUGACGCUGAGGCACGAAGGCCAGGGGAGCAAACGGG
rnacentral:rRNA from 1 species